AGAAAAAGGCUGAAGGACCUACAUGACAUGGUGAGAUGCUGAAGAGCUUUGCUUGUUCAUGUCCAUGAUAUAUACAUAUUA